AUUGAACGCUGGCGGCAGGCCUAACACAUGCAAGUCGAACGGUAGUACAGAGAGCUUGCUCUUGGGUGACGAGUGGCGGACGGGUGAGUAAUGUCUGGGAAACUGCCCGAUGGAGGGGGAUAACUACUGGAAACGGUAGCUAAUACCGCAUAACGUCGCAAGACCAAAGUGGGGGGACCUUCGGGCCUCACACCAUCGGAUGUGCCCAGAUGGGAUUAGCUAGUUGGUGAGG
rnacentral:rRNA from 1 species